UUAAGUAAAAGUAAGAGUUACUACCUCCUUUUCUUCUAUUAUACUAAGAAUGAUAAUCUUGAAGAAACACAGCAAAAAUCUGCCCACAAGAGAAUGUGCCAGCUGACGAUGGUUCCCAUUGUUGAUUCCCAUUUUCCUCUAUAAGCCAUACAUUCAGUAUGAUUCUGUUAAAAUCCUAAGCUUGUGACUGCCACUGCCUUAUGAUUUAGCUAAUCUUGAUAGUCAACAUAUGUGCCUUUGUGGGUUGAGAUUCUGGUUAACUUUGAAGUGUAAUAUCUAGUGGCCAAGAACGAAAAUCUAACCAUCUUAAAACAAAGAUUCUAAUCCUCAAGAAUAAUAAUUAUAACUCAACACAGAUACAAUCCUCAAGCAAAUGUAUAGGAAAUAACAAAUUUACAAUCAGCCCCUACUAGUUCUCAACAACCACACACAUAAAAUUCGCCCCAAUUUGAUUGACUGUCGCCAAAGAUCCGUUGCAGCUCCUUCACGAAACAAUCGUCUAUGGAGAGAUCUUGUGAAGUAAACGACAAUUUGUUUAUGGGCACCCAGAAUUGAGAUGGACCACGGAUUGAAAUGGGCGACGACUACUACAGUAGCUUUUGGCAUUCUAAUAAUG
rnacentral:lncRNA from 1 species